GUCCUGGGGCUGCCAUCCCAAAUCUUCAAAGGGCUGAGACCUAAGCUUGCCUUUCUCCUGCAGGGUGACUCUGGGGGACCCCUGACCUGCGUGAGAUCUGGGCGCUGGGUCCUGGUGGGCGUGUGCCUUCCUGGUGGCCAGCCUCGUGACACGGCGACGUUCACCUCCCGGCCUGCAGCUGCAGCGGCAGCCACCCUGUGCUGCUGCAUCCCGUCCAUCAGCAAGAUGCUGAGAUCGAGAUGGAAAUCUUCGGCCUAAGCCAAGGACGCGCCACACCAGUGACUCGUCCACCGCCUCCGACCCAGGGGAUGAAGCAGCGGUGAAGGUCAGCCAGGGGCGGGCGAGUUAGCGGGGAGCCAGGGCUGCCUAGGCUCAGGGAGGGAAGAGUCACAGGAGGGGAGAGGACUUCAGGGGGCCCCGGGGGAGGCACAGGCUAGAAG
rnacentral:lncRNA from 1 species